rnacentral:rRNA from 1 species
GCAUAUCAAUAAGCGGAGGAAAAGAAACCAACAGGGAUUGCCUCAGUAGCGGCGAGUGAAGCGGCAAAAGCUCCAUUUUGAAAGCUCUUCGGAGCGUUGUAGAUUGGUGGGAAGCUAACGGCUGGUGGGAGACCAAGUCCUCUGGAACGAGGCGCCAUAGAGGGUGAGAAUCCCGUCUGAUGAGAUGCCCAUUCCUAUGUAAGGUGCUAUCGAAGAGUCGAGUUGUUUGGGAAUGCAGCUCUAAGUGGGUGGUAAAUUCCAUCUAAAGCUAAAUAUUGGCGAGAGACCGAUAGCGAACAAGUACAGUGAUGGAAAGAUGAAAAGAACUUUGAAAAGAGAGUGAAAAAGUACGUGAAAUUGUUGAAAGGGAAGGGCAUUAGAUCAGACUUGGUGUUUUACGAUUAUCUUCUCUUCUUGAGUUGUGCACUCGUAUUUCACUGGGCCAGCAUCGAUUCGGAUGGCAAGAUAAUGGCAGUUGAAUGUGGCUUCACUUCGGUGGAGAGUUAUAGCUUCUGCUGAUAUUGCCUGUCUGGAUCGAGGGCUGCGUCUUUGGACUAGGAUGCUGGCGUAAUGGUCUAAUGCCGCCCGUCUUGAAACACGGACC